rnacentral:rRNA from 1 species
GAUGAACGCUGGCGGCGUGCCUAACACAUGCAAGUCGAGCGAUCUUCUUCGGAAGAGAGCGGCGGACGGGUGAGUAACGCGUGGGUAACCUGCCCUGUACACACGGAUAACAUACCGAAAGGUAUGCUAAUACGAGAUAAUAUGCUUUUGUCGCAUGGUAGAAGUAUCAAAGCUCCGGCGGUACAGGAUGGACCCGCGUCUGAUUAGCUAGUUGGUAAGGUAACGGCUUACCAAGGCGACGAUCAGUAGCCGACCUGAGAGGGUGAUCGGCCACAUUGGGACUGAGACACGGUCCAAACUCCUACGGGAGGCAGCAGUGGGGAAUAUUGCACAAUGGGCGAAAGCCCGAUGCAGCAACGCCGCGUGAGCGAUGAAGGCCUUCGGGUCGUAAAGCUCUGUCCUCAAGGAAGAUAAUGACGGUACCCGGAGAAGAAGCCCCGGCUAACUUCGUGCCAGCCGCCGCCGUAA